rnacentral:rRNA from 1 species
GACGAACGCUGGCGGCGUACUUAACACAUGCAAGUCGAACGCUGAAGCACCAGCUUGCUGGUGUGGAUGAGUGGCGAACGGGUGAGUAAUACGUGAGUAACCUGCCCUUGACUCUGGGAUAAGCCCGGGAAACUGGGUCUAAUACUGGAUGCUACAUGUCACCGCAUGGUGGUGUGUGGAAAGGGUUUACUGGUCUUGGAUGGGCUCACGGCCUAUCAGCUUGUUGGUGAGGUAAUGGCUCACCAAGGCGACGACGGGUAGCCGGCCUGAGAGGGUGACCGGCCACACUGGGACUGAGACACGGCCCAGACUCCUACGGGAGGCAGCAGUGGGGAAUAUUGCACAAUGGGCGAAAGCCUGAUGCAGCGACGCCGCGUGAGGGAUGACGGCCUUCGGGUUGUAAACCUCUUUCAGCAGGGAAGAAGCCACAAGUGACGGUACCUGCAGAAGAAGCGCCGGCUAACUACGUG